rnacentral:lncRNA from 1 species
AAAGGGUCUACAUAACUAAAACCGGAAAUUUUCACAUUUAGCAUGUGUACACACUCGUCACCUUGCGUACACGGCUUUCACAUAUCAUAAAUAACACCAAACCUAAGGGGUAAUUCCCCCACACAUGGUUAGGCAUAACACUUACCUCAAACCAUGCUAAAUCAAUCCACUACUAGACCUUUUCCUCGAUUAUUCAACUCCGAACGGCUCAAAUCUAGGAAAAAUAAUUUCAUACUAUAAAUAUAAUUAUAGGAAACUAAUUCAAACAAUGAAAUUGCAAUCUUUGCAAAGAAUUAAAAAGUCACCCUAGAUCCACACCUCAAAACCCGACCAAAAUUAUAAUAGCCGAACGCCCAUUCGAUAUCGAGUCCAGCCAUAUAAGAAUUACUCAAAACCGACCUCAAUUCGCCUUUCAAAACUCAAAUUUUAGUCUAAGAGGUUUCUACCAUUUUUCCCCAAUUUUCAACUCCAAAACACUAAUUAAUUGAUCAAAUUAACAAUAGAUUCUUGAAAAAUUAACCAAAACCAAGUUAGAAUUCCUUACCCUAACGAUCUCUCUGAAAAACCCUCGAAACAGCGCCUCCCACCGAGCUCUCUAAGUUCAAAAAUAAAUUAAGAAUCAAAACCCUCGAAUUUCCCCUUUUCUGCCUAGGGAAUCCGCUUCUGCUACCUUUUUAUUGCUUUUGCGAUACCGCACCUACGGAAAAACCAUCGCAGGUGCAGAUUCCACUUGAAUCCAGAAGUUUCGCUUCUGAGGACCAUGGAGACCGCACCUGCGAGCCCGCCCUAAGCCCCUCUGCCAAAUUUUGCAUCAGCGAAGUAAAUGGCAGCGCCUGCGGAGGCGCACCAGCGCUUAGGUGUCCGCACCUGCGAGCCCAGCCCUGGGCUCUCCUUUUCGCAUCUACGCACCACUAUCCGCACAUGCGGCCAAUCUUUCUCCAGGUGCGAUGACACCAGAAAGCUGGUAACUUCAGCAAUUCACAUAAGUCCAAUUUCAAUCCGGAUUCAAUCCGUUUCACACCUGGGGUCCCCGGGAUCCCGUCUGAAAGUACCAACAAGCUCUAAGUUCCGUGAUUUUAGUACGAUUGCUUUAAUCAUACCUGGCUUAAUUAAUUAUUUAAUUAUGUAUCUUUUUAGAACCUAUGUGCAUUUUACCUUUUUCCGCUUUUAAUUAUAGCCUAAUGGAUUUAUCUUUGAAGCGGAUCACAUGUGCAUAAAUUCGUUUUAUUUUGUGCGCUAAAAUCAUGACACGCAUACGUAUACACAAUUAAUCAUGCUUUAUUAAUUAUUAAGAUUGUUUGGUCAAGGUCGCACGAACGCGUACCUUGAUUUAUUUUGAGAAUCAUAAUUAUGUCACGCGAACGUGUACAUAAUCAUGAUAAUAAAUUUAAUAUGUGCCUAAAGCACUCUAACGGUACUCAUUAUUCUUCCUAAACUUUAAAAAUAUUAUAAGGUCAUGAAUUAUGGAAUUAUUUGUGGAACAAAAUGUAAUAAAUUAGUUAUGGAAAGGUGAGCUAGCCAAGAAUAUUUAACAAUUCGGCCAACUAGAGCUCUUAUGUGUAUUAAACCACUAAGACUUAAAUCAUGCUUAUCAGGGACAAAGAUAAGUUUAUUCAUGCUCAAGGAUUCACAACCAUAAUCACCAAGAUAAUGUAUUAGUCAAGUAUAAAAUGAGAGAUGGACCUUCAGGCAGUAAACUUUCUUCAUUACAUCAACGGACCUCUAUAAGAGCUCGAAUAGCACAGCUACUACAACAACAAUAGACUCACGAUCGGAAUCUCAACAGGAAACUUGAACCCGACCUCGACUUGAGUGGAAGAUUUUGAAUUUUAAACUCCUGCCCAACUGAACACUACCUUGAAAAAGUGAUGUUUAGACAGAUUUUCCAACCUGUUUCAAUUGAGGUUUUGGCUAGGAUUUUGGCUGAGUUUUGGAGGUUGUUUUGGGGUGGUUGUUGGCUGGAAUCGGCUAGUUUAAGCUGUGAUUUUGGAUUGAUUUCAGCAGGUUUUUGGCUGAUUUUCACUGGGUAAUUGGGGUUGUUUUUCAGCUCAUUGUUGCUGAUUUUGGGAUUGUGUUUGAGCUGAUUUUUGUGGUGGUUAAAGGUUAGCUUUUGGGUGAGGUUUUGGAGCUAGUUUUUCUGGGUUUUAGUGGUGGAAACAUGGGCUGUUCGGGGUUGUCUUAGGGUAUUAAUGAUGGUGGAAACAUGGGUUUCAUGGUGUUUUCAUGGUAGUUUUAGGCUUGGAUUUUGUGUGGUUGAAGAAGAAAGAGCCGCUACUUUUUU